rnacentral:misc_RNA from 1 species
GAUGAAGAACGCAGCGAAAUGCGAUACGUAAUGUGAAUUGCAAAUUCAGUGAAUCAUCGAGUCUUUGAACGCACAUUGCGCCCCCUGGUAUUCCGGGGGGCAUGCCUGUCCGAGCGUCAUUGCUGCCCUCAAGCACGGCUUGUGUGUUGGGCCCCGUCCUCCGAUCCCGGGGGACGGGCCCGAAAGGCAGCGGCGGCACCGCGUCCGGUCCUCGAGCGUAUGGGGCUUUGUCACCCGCUCUGUAGGCCCGGCCGGCGCUUGCCGAUCAACCCAAAUUUUUAUCCAGGUUGACCUCGGAUCAGGUAGGGAUACCCGCUGAACUUUAGCAUAUCAAUAAGCGGAGGA